ACCAGAAAUUAUGGUGCUACAAAAAUACCUGCUUAUCUUAGAGCCAAAACAUUUCAGUUUUAAAAAAUGGCCUCGUAUUGCAGAUACAUAAGUCAGCUCCAGAUCGACUGCAAGAACAAACCAGCAAUCCUGAGAGGAUCCACAGACUCUCUAAAGGAAGCGGACUGCUCCUGCAGGACCCAGGAGAUCCCCAAAUACUAUCCUGCGCAUGUCCACAGAGCGUUUCUGAUCCAGCUCCCCUUUUUUAAUAAGGAACUCUUCAACAAGAAAUAAACUC
rnacentral:lncRNA from 1 species